UACGAGAGGCCCAAACGUUAUUCGGAUUUACUGGGCUUAAAGAGUUCGUAGGCGGCGCGGAAAGUAGGGUGUGAAAGCCCUCGGCUCAACCGAGGAAUUGCGCUCUAAACUACCGUGCUAGAGGAAGCUAGAGGUGAGCGGAACUGAUGGUGGAGCGGUGAAAUGCGUUGAUAUCAUCAGGAACACCGGAGGCGAAGGCGGCUCACUGGGGCUUUUCUGACGCUGAGGAACGAAAGCCAGGGGAGCGAACGGG
rnacentral:rRNA from 1 species